rnacentral:rRNA from 1 species
CCUACGGGGGGCAGCAGUGAGGAAUAUUGGUCAAUGGGCGCAAGCCUGAACCAGCCAAGUCGCGUGAGGGAAGACGGCCCUACGGGUUGUAAACCUCUUUUGCCGGGGAGCAACGGCCGCCACGUGUGGCGCCACUGAGAGUACCCGGAGAAAAAGCAUCGGCUAACUCCGUGCCAGCAGCCGCGGUAAUACGGAGGAUGCGAGCGUUAUCCGGAUUUAUUGGGUUUAAAGGGUGCGUAGGCGGAGCGUUAAGUCAGUGGUAAAAUGGAGGGGCUCAACCCCUUCCCGCCAUUGAAACUGGCGUUCUUGAGUGGAAGAGAAGUAUGCGGAAUGCGUGGUGUAGCGGUGAAAUGCAUAGAUAUCACGCAGAACCCCGAUUGCGAAGGCAGCAUGCCGGCUUCCUACUGACGCUGAAGCACGAAAGCGUGGGGAUCGAACAGGAUUAGAUACCCGAGUAGUC